AUUGAACGCUGGCGGAAUGCUUUACACAUGCAAGUCGAACGGUAGAGGGGGCAACCCCUUGAGAGUGGCGAACGGGUGAGUAAUAUAUCGGAACGUGCCCAGUCGUGGGGAUAACGUAGCGAAAGUUACGCUAAUACCGCAUACGAUCUAAGGAUGAAAGCGGGGGAUCGCAAGACCUCGCGCGAUUGGAGCGGCCGAUAUCAGAUUAGGUAGUUGGUGGGGUAAAGGCUCACCAAGCCAACGAUCUGUAGCUGGUCUGAGAGGACGACCAGCCACACUGGAACUGAGACACGGUCCAGACUCCUACGGGAGGCAGCAGUGGGGAAUUUUGGACAAUGGACGCAAGUCUGAUCCAGCCAUUCCGCGUGCAGGAUGAAGGCCCUCGGGUUGUAAACUGCUUUGUACGGAACGAAAAGGUUUCUCUUAAUACGAGGAGCUCAUGACGGUACCGUAAGAAUAAGCACCGGCUAACUACGUGCCAGCAGCCGCGGUAAUGUGACU
rnacentral:rRNA from 1 species